GAGGGCGGGUGAGCGGCGGCGGCUCCGCGCUCUGCGCCUGCCGGCACCUCGGGCUCUGCGGCGCUGCAGCCUCGCUUCCAUCUGCCUUCCGCGCCAGCGUUGCGGAGAGAGCCGGGGCGAGAGUGGGGGAAGGAGAGACUGGAAAAAGCAUCAUCAUGAAACAGAACUCUUCCCUGGGCCUCAAUUACAAGACCUGCAUCUGCCCCAAAGACACUAAACAGUCCUGUGAUACUCAAGUUGUGUUAACUUGAGUAAGAAAUGUCCAACUGGUUGGGUUAGCGUAAUUCUUGGUGUGGCUGAAUGGAUUUGCUGAAGAUAGAAGACCCUCCAUCCCUAGGUGUGAGCAUCACCAGCCAAUAGGCUUGUAGCCUGAACUGAAUAAAAAGGGAAAAGAUGGAGGAACUCUUGCCUCAGUUUCUUUGGAGGAGUUCAUCUUUGUUAUUGCCUUGGGAUGUCCAUCUCCAGGCUUCAAGCUCAAACUCUUCAGCCUUCUAAUGUAGAUACUCCAGCUGCCAAUGAGACUCUGCAUUAAGCGCCAAGUCUUUCACCUUUGCAACUGGAUUGUUUGGCUCUCCCGUGCUCAGACAGUCCUUUUUGCAUUCUUUUUUUUUUUUUUUCCUUUUUGCUUUCUUGUACACCUGACUCUGCAGGUGGCCAUCGUAAGCCUACCUUGUAAAUUAUAUAUAUUUCUUGUUUAAUGACCUACUUAUUUAAUGAGUGUUCAGACUUGCAACCUGCUGCUUGGACUUAUGACCCCUCUUUUUUUGUUUGUUUUUUUGUAAAGUUCUGUACAUCUUGUUUAUGGAGCCUCAAUGUCUUUUUUUAGUACAGUGCACCUUGUUUAUAUGGUACCAUACUUUUUGAUGAUUGUACUCUACAGAACAGUACUGUAGUUUUAUGUUCCAUUGUAUAUUACAGUACUGCAUGUAAGAGUUAUGCAAAUAAAGUCCUCGAGUUAGA